ACGUAGGGUGCAAGCGUUGUCCGGAAUUACUGGGUGUAAAGGGAGCGCAGGCGGACCGGCAAGUUGGAAGUGAAAACUAUGGGCUCAACCCAUAAAUUGCUUUCAAAACUGCUGGCCUUGAGUAGUGCAGAGGUAGAUGGAAUUCCCGGUGUAGCGGUGGAAUGCGUAGAUAUCGGGAGGAACACCAGUGGCGAAGGCGACCUACUGGGCACCAACUGACGCUGAGGCUCGAAAGCAUGGGUAGCAAACAG
rnacentral:rRNA from 1 species